rnacentral:rRNA from 1 species
UAGGGAAUCUUCCGCAAUGGGCGAAAGCCUGACGGAGCAACGCCGCGUGAGUGAUGAAGGUCUUCGGAUCGUAAAACUCUGUUAUUAGGGAAGAACAAAUGUGUAAGUAACUAUGCACGUCUUGACGGUACCUAAUCAGAAAGCCACGGCUAACUACGUGCCAGCAGCCGCGGUAAUACGUAGGUGGCAAGCGUUAUCCGGAAUUAUUGGGCGUAAAGCGCGCGUAGGCGGUUUUUUAAGUCUGAUGUGAAAGCCCACGGCUCAACCGUGGAGGGUCAUUGGAAACUGGAAAACUUGAGUGCAGAAGAGGAAAGUGGAAUUCCAAGUGUAGCGGUGAAAUGCGCAGAGAUAUGGAGGAACACCAGUGGCGAAGGCGACUUUCUGGUCUGUAACUGACGCUGAUGUGCGAAAGCGUGGGGAUCAAACAGG